GUCAGUUGGCUGCUGUGAGGAUGAAGAAGAAUCAGGGCCUGGAAAAGCUACCUACAAGAAACAUCAAGGAGGAAUCCCUCAGUACAUCAGGGGAACUGAAAGAAGAUUUUUCUUGGAAUAUCCCGUGGCAGCUGCUUCUCCAUUAAGUCUUGGACCACUGAACUUGUGUAGAAAUGGCAGCAGGAGAAGAAAACCCUGAAAAGUCCCAGAUACCCUGAUUUUCAGAGCAAAGUCCAGCUCUAGAUCCUGUUCCACCUCAUCUCCACCACCUCCAUCUUCCCAACAGCACAUCAGGCUCCGUAAGGUGAAUAAGGAUUGGUGGGGACACCUAGAAAUCUGCAGCAAGAUGUAGAGGAGGACCUGAUGGUCGAAAUAGGAAGAUGGAGUGAGAGAUGGAUGUCUUACAUCUGAGGAAUUUGGGAAGGAGCAGGAAGGAAGAGGAAAGAGAGUACAGGCAAAGUGUGGAGAAGAGGGAAAGACACACACUCAUCUGUGCCCCAGCUGCUAAGCCCCUCCUCAGCCGGUGAAAUCCCAAAUGAGCACUGAAUCUUUACUGUCUCAGGAACAGAGUAUAGAAGGUGAAGGAAAACACUGACUCAGACAGCACUGACAUGAAGGGAAAUCAACAGUUUUGGAAUUCAGCUUCUGCUGCUUAUUCAUGGACAGGCUGAGAGAUUCCAGGAAGAGAAGCACUGGAUAGACCAAAGGCUGUCAUGGUAACAAGGUUUGAUCCCAUGUUUGAGACUUUCCAGCUACUGCUCAGAUCACACAAAGGCUGGACAUGAUCAGGUAAGGAUUUUGCCUUGCCAACAUCCUUACCCUCACCCAUAACAGCCUUGCCCACCUUGCCUAUUAAUUAAUUAAGCAAAUAUAUUGACCCUAUAAACACGCCCAGAGCAUCCCCCAUUAACAUUCCCAUAUCAAUAAGCAACUGUAUCCAUGGCACAGAUAAAGAGGACAGAUGUUUUUCUAAUGCUGAUCACCUUCUAUAAAACCUUUUAAAUACCAUCUUUUCUAGGGCAUAAAGGUGUUUCUGCAGCACAAAACACACCACUGUCAGUGUCCUAACAUUUAUAACCUAUUUUCUCCACAUCAAAAUAUGUUAAGUGGGAUAUUUCAUACAGGAAGAGAGUGGUGCAGGGAGAGGAAUUUCAAACCCAGCUCUGGCUAAUUCUGGACAAGUUACCUCCACUGCCCUUACUUGAGCUUUUAGCAGUCACUGCAUUAUUCACUGUGAUCACCUCACUCCCUUCUCCAGAGUAAUUACCUCUGUUCCCUGGAACUUCCCAACAGCCACAAAAAUUCAAAUGGAAUCCAUUCUCUCAGCAUGGACUGUAACGAUGAGCUUCACCUCUGAGGAAGAUCAAAUGAAGAUAUCAACACUUGAGAGACUCAGCUAAAAGCAAGAGCAGUUGCACCAAUCAAUUAGAAAGCUCUCAGGUUGUGUGUGGGCUUGCCAGGCUACCACAGAAUAUUUAAAACUUUUGCAAUGCAAAAAUGUCAGCUGCUUGCUUUUAAUUGCUCUGGGUUUAGGCCCAACCGAGUACUGCAGGCAGCCUGCAGAGUGAGAAUGCCUUAAGUUCUGAUAUUCCUUUGAAUUCUUGGCAAAUAAUUUCAUCUUUCACCAUACAUAGAACAGAGGUAAAAAUAUCCACCCCUCAUCUUUCACGGAUUCUGCUUUUGCUAUGAGUUUUUUAAGUUUUAAUCUACACAAAGUUAACCAGAACAAAGUAUUUCUGUUUAUUGUAACACUGGAAGGAAGAAGUAACUGCAGAAUUGUGGACUUCACAUAAUACACCACAGGCCUCCUGGAAUGAGAUAAAAAGUGACAAAGUGCUCUGAAAUCUGCAAUGCAGAUCAAAAAUCAAGUAUUCUUUGCUUGUUCCAUCUGUGGACUAUGGGACUGCAGAAAAACAAGGUUACCACAUAAUGCUGCAUAGAUUUCUCCUUUACUGUGUGCUUUCCCCAAUCAGACAUGUUUAUUUCAUUGUCUUGUGGAUGUUGAUAAAAUUCUGAUGAUUUUAACAGAAAAAUAGAAGACAUAACAAUUUUUACUAUGCAUGUUUCAACUGCUGCUCCUGAGCUCUCUGUCUCCCUGUUGAAAAUGGUCAUAAAAUUUUAUCCUCCAGGUAGGGGAAAUAACAUCCUGAAAUUUAAUAUUAUGGAUGGCUACAUUAAUUUUCACUGUCAUCAUGUAAAAAAUAAUUCCUUUUUUAAAAAGUAGAUCUAGUGGGUGAAUUUCUGUAUUACUUACAUCAGAGAUUUGUAGCACAACAAGCUAUUUUACAGCAACCUAAAAAACCUGUAUUUUUUCUGCUUUUUACAUUUGGAUGUGAGAAGGUUUCAUAAGAAAUUAAAUAAAAGAAGACCAGUAAUCCAUCAAAACAAUGUGAGAGAACAGCAGCCACAUCUGAGUGAACUGGGCACUCACCCAAGCAGAAGUGACAAGCAUUUUAGGUGGCAACAGUGGCAUUGAAAUAGCAUUUCCCUCCUCUGAAAAGAAAGACUUUUAAAACCUCUAGGCAUAACAAGAGGAAAAAAAAUUGGUGAGCAUCCUGCAUAAAUAAAUGUGUAAAUUGAGUUUAUUUAUCCAUGAAGAAAAUGGAGAUCUGUGCAAAGUUUUAAAUUAACUCAAACAAGAGAAUAGAUACAUUUUUCUGGAGAGAAGACAGCAAAAAAUACUGAUCAUACUCCUAAAUCCUAGAACUGAGUUUACCCAGUGGUCACUGUAAGGACAGUUUCAGCAUAAUGAGAGUUUUGUUUUCUAAAAUAAUCAGAUACUGAUACAUACUUAUAUGUGUACAUUUUUAUACAUUUAUAGGUAUAGGUAUAUUUAAUAACUCUCAAUGAAUUUCUCAGAUAAGAAGUUCCCCAUCUUAGUCAGAAAUCUUGUCUUUAGCUGAUACAAAUUUCAAAGAGCUGAUGCCCACUGAGGUAUGGCUCCACGCUGAGGAUUCAUUUAAAGAUUUCACACCCACGUCCACAGGGAUGAACUCAGCAGCACUCUCCUUGAACAGAUUAACAGCAAAAUUGCAAAUACAUCUCACUUCUGAUAUUAACUCUUUCCCCUUUAUUUACACAGGAGGCUGUGAGUAAUAGUCUCCCACCUGCUGUGGAAUUACCUCAGGGAUACUUUCAAAGAAAGAGCAGGUUCUUAGGGGAAUGAUUAAUUUCCUGUAACUCUGGAUAUUGCAAAGUAGGCAUCUGCAGCUGAGCAGGCCUUAGGCUGCCUUUAAACUCAAUAAAUAAAAAAAACCUCAGGCUUGUUCAAAAAUACCAGGGCAGCCCUUUUGGUUCUGCCUGAGGGUCUACCUACUACAUCUUCCAGUCUCCAGCAGUGGAUAUUUAGGGAACAACACAGAGAUGGGAGAUAAAUGAGCACUCUCCCAGCUCCCAUGUUCAUCCCAGAGGAUUUCCUGAUACAGGACCAGGUUUCUCUGGCAUGGUAAUAACUCCCUGUGUGUUUCACAGUGACAGCAGGCAAGAGAUCAGCUUCUAAAUGCUUGGGGAUAUCUGCAAAAGGUGGAGAGUCCAGAGGGUGAGCAGGGAGCCUUGAAAUCAGGCUCCUGUUCUACAUCAGCGCAGCUGAGACCACCCAGCAUUUUAUACCCUUAGCAAUCUGUUUCUCAUUUGUGUCACCUCUUAGCUACUGGUAUGUGCAACUUGAAAUAUCUGCAUCCAUAAACAACCCUUUUGUCUGACCAUUUAUGCACAGCAGUAGCACGACAAAGAGAAUGAAUCUGCUACAAAAAAAGAUGCACAGGGCAUGAAGUGUUGAACAGUUCAAGUCCAAGUGGCUUACAUAAACCAUGUUAACAUUUUCCAUUAUC